AGUCCCGUGGUGUAGUGGCCAAUCAUAUGGGCCUUUGGACGUAAUCGGUUUCGGCCGUUUACGGAAGACAGCCCAUGACGGCGGUUCGAAUCCGCCCGGGACUA
rfam:Natronolimnobius baerhuensis strain CGMCC 1.3597 ZB100001, whole genome shotgun sequence.